rnacentral:rRNA from 1 species
UACGUAGGUGGCAAGCGUUGUCCGGAAUUACUGGGCGUAAAGAGCGCGCAGGCGGCUGGUCAAGUCCGAUGUGAAAGCUCCCGGCUUAACUGGGAAAUUGCAUCGGAAACUGAUCGGCUUGAAGGUGGGAGAGGGUAGUGGAAUUCCCGGUGUAGUGGUGAAAUGCGUAGAUAUCGGGAGGAACACCAGUGGCGAAGGCGACUACCUGGCCCACUCUUGACGCUGAGGCGCGAAAGCUAGGGGAGCAAACGGG